ACGUCUACGAGUUUGAUCAUGGCUCAGAAUGAACGCUGGCGGCGUGGAUUAGGCAUGCAAGUCGAACGCGAAAGUCCUUUCGGGGACGAGUAGAGUGGCGAAAGGGUGAGUAAUGCUUGGAUGACCUGCCCUCGAGACGGGGACAACAGUUCGAAAGGACUGCUAAUACCCGAUAGUCCGGUGCAAACCGGUAAAUGGUGCUUCCGCUCGAGGAGGGGUUCAAGUCCUAUCAGCUUGUUGGUGAGGUAACGGCUCACCAAGGCUAUGACGGGUAGCCGGACUGAGAGGUUGGCCGGCCACAUGGGAACUGAGACACUGUCCUGACUCCUACGGGAGGCUGCAGUCGAGAAUCUUCUGCAAUGGGCGAAAGCCUGACAGAGCGACGCCGCGUGGAGGAUGAAGGCCCUCGGGUCGUAAACCCCUGUCACAUGUUAUGAAACGUACAGGUCCACCUGUGCGCUGACAAAAGCAUGAGAGGAAGUCACGGCUAACUUCGUG
rnacentral:rRNA from 1 species